rnacentral:rRNA from 1 species
UACGUAGGUGGCGAGCGUUGUCCGGAUUUACUGGGCGUAAAGAGCGCGCAGGCGGCUGGUCAAGUCCGAUGUGAAAGCUCCCGGCUUAACUGGGAAAUUGCAUCGGAAACUGAUCGGCUGGAAGGUGGGAGAGGGUAGCGGAACUCCCGGUGUAGUGGUGAAAUGCGUAGAUAUCGGGAGGAACACCAGUGGCGAAAGCGGCUACCUGGCCCAUUCUUGACGCUGAGGCGCGAAAGCUAGGGGAGCAAACGGG